rnacentral:rRNA from 1 species
GAUGAACGCUGGCGGCGUGCCUAAUACAUGCAAGUCGAGCGAACGGACGAUAAGCUUGCUUUUCUGAUGUUAGCGGCGGACGGGUGAGUAACACGUGGAUAACCUACCUAUAAGACUGGGAUAACUUCGGGAAACCGAAGCUAAUACCGGAUAAUAUUUUGAACCGCAUGGUUCAAAAGUGAAAGACGGUCUUGCUGUCACUUAUAGAUGGAUCCGCGCUGCAUUAGCUAGUUGGUAAGGUAACGGCUUACCAAGGCAACGAUGCAUAGCCGACCUGAGAGGAUGAUCGGCCACACUGGAACUGAGACACGGUCCAGACUCCUACGGGAGGCAGCAGUAGGGAAUAUUCCGCAAUGGGCGAAAGCCUGACGGAGCAACGCCGCGUGAGUGAUGAAGGUCUUCGGAUCGUAAAACUCUGUUAUUAGGGAAGAACAUAUGUGUAAGUAACUGUGAACAUCUUGACGGUACCUAAUCAGAAAGCCACGGCUAACUACGUG